UCUCGUUGUAACGGUCGACGUCGUAGUGAAUGGACCAAGGCGCAGCGGGUUGAGAGCUCAUGUUAACUUUUAUUGUGAACACCACUAAUAAACAAAACAAUAAACAAACAGUCUUGUAGGCUCACACAACAACCUCCCACCAAUCCCAUGACAAACACAUUCCUAUUUAUAUAUUCAAUCAGAGCGAACGAUAGAGAGCUGCCUCCAAUUGAAGGCCCCAACCCCAAUUAACUAAACAUAGAAAUAGAAAUGACUAGAGAGAACAUAGAAAUACACUAACAUAGAAAAAUGACAAAAACCCCGGAAUACAUUAACCAAACACCCCUCUACAUACACACAUACCCCGAACCAUAUAAAACAAAUACCCCCUGCCACGUCCUGACCAAACUAUAAUAGCAAAUAACCCCUUUACUGGUCAGGACGUGACGCUGGUGUAGCCUGAAUGACAUGAUGGACAAACAUAGGGAGCUCCUUAGAAAGCUCUGAUGUUGGUAAUACCAUACAAAUGGUUGUUUUGCACAUAAAAGUACAGAAUAUGAGGAUGAGGUUGAGGGUUGUUCUGGAAUUUCAAGAGAGCUGAAUUAUUCCUACUACUAUGGUAUAAAACCACUGUAAGUGUUGUUACAUAGAUGCUGUGUUCACUAUGCAUGAUUAAUACAUAAUUCAAGGUUUAUUUGAUGUAGUAAAUAAAUAAAUGAUUUAUUGAUGUAUAGAUAAGAAUUUAAAUGUGAUGUAACAGGUAAAUUAACGUUAGGCCAUUGUUUGUGUUUUUAUGUUCCAUCCCGGAACUAACGUUCUCUGUUGUGUUACUGCUACGGAAUUUGUUAAUUGACUGUGUGCAAUCUAACUUAAGCAGAUCUAAGUCUGAAUCAUAAUUGUUGAUGGCAGAGGCUAAGAAAGACAGUAAAGGGACUUUCAAGGGACUUUAAGGAUUCAAGAACCUCUUUUCAGGACAAGCAGCCAACGAGUUCUCACGGCGUGACGUGGAUGCAUCGGAGAAAAAGACGUGCAAUGCAAUAAACGCCCGUUUCAAAGAACCAA